UACGUAGGGUCCGAGCGUUGUCCGGAAUUACUGGGCGUAAAGAGCUCGUAGGUGGUUUGUCGCGUUGUUCGUGAAAACUCACAGCUUAACUGUGGGCGUGCGGGCGAUACGGGCAGACUUGAGUACUGCAGGGGAGACUGGAAUUCCUGGUGAAGCGGUGGAAUGCGCAGAUAUCAGGAGGAACACCGGUGGCGAAGGCGGGUCUCUGGGCAGUAACUGACGCUGAGGAGCGAAAGCGUGGGGAGCGAACAGG
rnacentral:rRNA from 1 species